rnacentral:lncRNA from 1 species
AGUUUCAGGUGGAAUGGCAUGAUGAGCAAGAAAAAGGGUCAGAAAUGGGGCCAAGAGAAAGUCUCAUUUUCCCAAAGGAAUGAUUCUCCUGGUUCAAACAAAGAACGUCCUGAGAUGAUGAAUCGUGAGAGACAGAGAUGUGGCCAAGAGAAAGUCUCAUUUCCCGAAAAGAAUGAUUCUCCUGUUUCAAACAAAGAACGUCCUGAGGUGAUGAAUCGUGAGAGACAGAGAUGGGGCCGAGAGAAAGUCUCAUUUUCCCAAAACAACGAUUCUCCUGAGAUGAUGAAUCGAGAGAGUCAGAAAUGGGGUCAAGAGAAAGUUUCAUUUUCCCACAACAUGAUUCUCCUGAGAUGAUGAAUCAAGAGAGACAGAAAUGGGGUCAAGAAAAAGUUUCAUUUUCACACAACAAUGAUUCUCUAGGUUCAAGCAAAGGACAUCCUGAAAUGAUGAAUUGUGG